rnacentral:rRNA from 1 species
AUACGGAGGGUGCAAGCGUUAAUCGGAAUUACUGGGCGUAAAGCGUACGUAGGCGGUUCGUUAAGUUAGAUGUGAAAGCCCCGGGCUUAACCUGGGAACUGCAUUUAAAACUGGCGGACUAGAGUUGAGUAGAGGGGAGUGGAAUUUCAGGUGUAGCGGUGAAAUGCGUAGAGAUCUGAAGGAACACCAGUGGCGAAGGCGACUCCCUGGACUCGAACUGACGCUGAGGUACGAAAGCGUGGGUAGCAAACGGGAUUAGAAACCCGAGUAGUCC